rnacentral:rRNA from 1 species
UACGGAGGAGGCAAGCGUUAUCCGGAAUUAUUGGGCGUAAAGCGUCCGCAGGUGGUUAAUCAAGUCUGCUGUCAAAGCGCGAGGCUCAACUUCGUAAAGGCAGUGGAAACUGAUUGACUUGAGUUUGGUAGGGGUAGAGGGAAUUCCCAGUGUAGCGGUGAAAUGCGUAGAUAUUGGGAAGAACACCGGUGGCGAAAGCGCUCUACUGGGCCUGAACUGACACUGAGGGACGAAAGCUAGGGGAGCGAAGGGGAU